AAUACCCUUCCUUCUUGUGAUGUCUUGCUGGUCAUCUGAGAUAUCAUAGGCCAACCCUUUCCAUCUGUCCUUAUCUGUCUGCUUGUUCUUUUCCUCAUCU